rnacentral:ncRNA from 1 species
CUAACAUGUAUGCGAGUCUGUGGGUGCUAAACCCGUACAGGCGAAAGGAAGCUAAUUCGUGGGAUCCCCUUCGGGGGUGCACCACGGACCGACCCUGAUCUUUUGAGAAGGGUUUGAGUGUUAGCAUACCUGCUGGGACCCGAAAGAUGGUGAACUAUGCCUGAGCAGGGCGAAGCCAGAGGAAACUCUGGUGGAGGCUCGUAGCGAUACUGACGUGCAAAUCGUUCGUAAGACUUGGGUAUAGGGGCGAAAGACUAAUCGAACCAUCUAGUAGCUGG